GGCAUCUGGUUUGAUUUCAACUAGCUGGUUCGACAGCUUCAAGGGUAAAGAUGGGAGAGCUGGGUUGGUUCUUCGAUGUCUACAUCUGGAGGCUUUGACUUUUUUACAGAGCCAUCUGCCCAGACCAUCAGUUUUGGUUUUCAUUGUUCACCGACUCCUUGCCUUCUUCAUUUUCGAUUUGAAGAUCAAUCUCCAUCUAAACUCAUCUCCGUCUGCUACUCGCCUGGCCUUAGCCUCUGAUCUUUCAUCCGUGUUUUCUUAAUCCCCUGCUUCUGUGAAAAGGUUAGGAGCUGCAUUUGGAGCCUAAUUUAUUUAGCUUGCGAGCUUGAUUUACUUCCCCAGACGAAUGUUGAAGCCUACAAGUUUUCGACAUGGUUAAAGCCUACAAGUUUUGAGUCUAAGGCAAGAAGGAGAAGAAGGAAAAGAUGGAGAGAAGAAAGAUGAAGGAGGAGAUGAUGGUUAAACUGAUGAUGAAAAAGACAGGUGAAAAGGGAAUAGGAAGAGAGCAUGUGUUUUGUAGAAAUGAAUAGUGAGCAGAAGAAUAUAUUCUC